rnacentral:rRNA from 1 species
CGAACGCUGGCGGCGUGCUUAACACAUGCAAGUCGAGCGGUAAGGCCCUUUCGGGGGUACACGAGCGGCGAACGGGUGAGUAACACGUGGGUGACCUGCCCUCAGCUCUGGGAUAAGCCUGGGAAACUGGGUCUAAAUACCGGAUAUGACUCCAUGACGCAUGUUGUGGGGUGGAAAGCCUUGUGCGGCUGAGGAUGGGCCCGCGGCCUAUCAGCUUGUUGGUGGGGUGAUGGCCUACCAAGGCGACGACGGGUAGCCGGCCUGAGAGGGCGACCGGCCACACUGGGACUGAGACACGGCCCAGACUCCUACGGGAGGCAGCAGUGGGGAAUCUUGCGCAAUGGGCGAAAGCCUGACGCAGCGACGCCGCGUGAGGGAUGACGGCCUGG